rnacentral:rRNA from 1 species
UACGUAGGUGGCAAGCGUUGUCCGGAUUUAUUGGGCGUAAAGAGCUCGUAGGCGGUUUGUCGCGUCUGCUGUGAAAACUGGGGGCUCAACCCCCAGCCUGCAGUGGGUACGGGCAGACUAGAGUGCGGUAGGGGAGAUUGGAAUUCCUGGUGUAGCGGUGGAAUGCGCAGAUAUCAGGAGGAACACCGAUGGCGAAGGCAGAUCUCUGGGCCGUAACUGACGCUGAGGAGCGAAAGCAUGGGGAGCGAACAGG